UGCACUGUUGGAACAACUGCUACCAACUCAAUUUAUCUCCUGUACUGUACAUCUCUCUCUCCUGUACUGUACAUCUCUCUCUCCUGUACUGUAGGGGGACCUCGAGCACCACAAACACUCCCAGUUACACUUUGAUUCAUCACGUGGAUUACACAGCAGCUAACAGCAUCAGAGAACAUCAACUAUGAAACACCCACCUGGAACCUUUUAGAUCUCUGUAACUACACUGACAGUUAGAUUAGACCUCUUUCAGUCUCUGACUUCUACAACAUGGACAUCAUCAAACAUGGUUUCCUAAGCUUGUUAACACUUCUGCUCUGGAUAAAAGGUCUAGUUGAUGGGAGUGAUGUCACUCAGACCUCAAUAAUAUGGAAAUUCAUGGAUGAAAAUGCAACAAUGUCCUGCAACCACACCAAGGAUUUUAGCUACAACCAGAUGUACUGGUACAGACAGCUGCCAGGAGAAACAAUGAAACAAAUUGUGUUCACUGAUCCAAACAGCAAACCUGACUUUGAACCAGACUUCAGAAAUGGGAGAUUCUCAGCUACUAAGCCUAACUUUGCUAGUGGGACAUUCACAGUGAAGAAUCUGGAACCAGGAGAUAAAGGCUUGUAUUUCUGUGCUGUCAGUGAAGCACAGUGAUACAGAUGCACUUGACAGCUGAACAAAAACCUCAGCAAGCUGUUACCAACUGUAUUUAUCUGCUGUACUGUAGGAGGACCUCAAGUACAACACACAACAACUCACAAUACAGCCACACUCCCACCUGUAACUUACAACACAGAAAUAAACUCUGUUGUAACGUCACACCUUCCAUCACACAGACUGAGUGUCUCUCAUUUUCAUUUUACUCAGAACACAAUAAUGAUCCCAGCUGGUCUGAUCAAACUCUCUGCAGCUCUGCUCUGUAUUGUAGGUACUGUACAUCAUGAGGCCGAGGAUUGAAAGGAGA